AUGCUAAGUGUUAGUUCCAUGGACAAGAAGGGAUUUGCAAUUCAUUUUGAGAAUGGUCAAUGUGAUAUUACAAAAGAAGGUGUUUUAUAUGCCAAAGCUUUUGAAAAGAAUGGAAUGUAUGAAUUGUGUGUUUCAUCUGAGCAAGCCAACAUGGUUAAGACACAUGUUGAUGGAAAGAAUCUUGAAAUUUGGCAUAGACGUUUUGGUCAUAGAGAUGCAAAUGCAAUUCUGCAGUUGCAGAAGGACAAUUUGGCUACAAACCUUGAGAUAAGCAAUACAGUUUUUGAUAAAUGUGUAGUCUGUGUUCAACAGAAAGCAGUGAGUCCCUCUUUUCCAGUCAACACAGAAAAGAGAUCUACUAAGAUUCUAGAUUUAAUUCACAGCGAUAUUUGUGGUCCCUUUAAGACUUCAUUUGGAGGAAAUAAUUAUGCAGUUAUUUUCUUAGAUGAUUUUUCAAAGUUUUGUGUUUCUUAUAUUCUGAAAGACAAAUCUGAAGCUCAAGACAUGUUGCAGAGAUAUGUUGUUAUGGUGAAGACUAAGUUUGGAUGCACACCGAAAACUAUUCAAACUGACUGUGGUAGUGAGUACACUUCACAUCGCACACAGAGAUUCCUGGAAGAGAAUGGAAUUCAGCAUUUUAAGAGUGUUCCUUAUACUCCUCAGCAAAAUGGAGUGGCUAAAAGGAAGCUUAGGUCUCUAGUUGAGAUGACAAGGUGUAUGUUAAAAGAUGUAAAUCUUCCAGAUUGCCUCUGGGGCGAAGCUUUUGCCACUGCUACUUUUCUUCAGAAUCGUCUACCAACUAAAGGUACUACUAAAACUCCUUUUGAGUUGUGGACUGGUAAUGUGCCAAGUAUGAAACGCAUCAAAAAGUUUGGAAGUAUAGCUUAUGCUUAUAUUCCCAAGCAGAAAAGGCACAAGUUGGACUGUAGAUCUGAACAAACUAUUUUAGUUGGUUAUGCACCUGCAAAUAAAGGCUAUAGAGUCAUGAACUUAAUGACUGGUGAAGUAUCUACACGACAUGUAGUGCAUUUUGAUGAACAGAGCAAAGUCAAUCUAAAAGGGACUGUGCUAGAUUUUUCAGAUGAAGAAGAGAAUACUACUUUACAGCUUACAGAGUCCAUUGAUGAUGUACCAACAAUUUCUUCAAUUGACACACUAGAAAUGUCACUGGAGUUCAUCCAGAGAGGCAAGGAACGCACCACAGACGCUAGAGGCAGUACACAAACAGGAGGGCCAGAAGAUGAUGCUGGUGAGUUAAGUCCUGGAGUAGAUGGAUCUGCGGAGGUAGGUUGUCUUCCAGAACAAACUCACAGGUAUUCAUUGCAUCCUAACAGAGGUGUACCACCCUUGAGAUUGUCUUACCUUGCAGAGUCAAAAUUAUCCAGUGAACCGUCUACUAUAGAAGAAAUUGAGAUGCUACCUGCCACAGAAGCUGAACAGUGGAGGAAAGCAGCACAAGAAGAGAUUGAUGCUCUACACAAGAAUGGAACUUGGACACUAACUGAACUUCCACCUGAUAAGAAGCCAAUUGGAUGCAGAUGGGUAUUCACAUUAAAGAGAGAUGCAGAAGGAAGAAUUGAGCACUACAAAGCGAGACUUGUUGCUCAAGGAUUUUCUCAGAAGUAUGGAGUGGAUUAUGAUGAAACUUUUGCACCUGUUGUGAAACACAGCAAUAUAAGACUACUUCUAAGUAUUGCAGCUUCAAAGAAGAUGACUGUACGACAUCUAGAUGUUAAGACUGCAUUCCUGCAUGGAAAGAUUACGGAAAGUUUAUUUAUGAGACAACCACCUGGUUUCGAGGACAAGAGAAGACCUCACCUUCUUUGUAAACUUCACAAGGGUCUAUAUGGACUUCGUCAAUCAGCAAAAGCCUGGAAUGACAAAUUAGAUGAAAUGCUGAAGCAAUUGGGAUUCAAGCAAGGAGAAGCAGAUCAGUGUUUGUACACUAGAACCAAAAAUGGACAUUGUACUUUUAUUCUGACCUAUGUAGAUGAUCUUAUUGUAUCAACUGAAUCAGAUGAAGAUUACACCGAGGUUGUACAACAUUUGAGCAAACAAGUUGAAUUGAAAGAACUUAGAGAUGCUACGUACUAUUUUGGAAUACAAAUCAAGAGAGAGAAAGAUGGAUCUUUUCUCUUGAGUCAGAAGCAAAAGAUUAUAGAUUUGCUGGAAGUUACUGGACUUCAAGAUGCAAAAACAGUAGCUACACCAAUGACUACAGAUUUCUUGAGAAACAAUGAAGAAAGUGUACUUUUGCCAAACAACAACCAGUAUAGAACUGCUAUAGGAAAGCUCCUAUAUUUAGCUACCAGUACCAGACCGGAUAUAUCGUCUGCUGUUGGAAUUCUAAGCAGAAAGGUCAGUGCACCUACUCAGAAAGAUUGGAUAGCUGUCAAGAGAGUUGUAAGAUACCUGAAAGGAACAAUGGACUUACAAUUGAAGUUACCGGCAAGUGACAAAUCAAGAUUGAUUUGUUAUUCAGAUGCUGACUGGGCUAGUGAUUCUUCAGAUUGUCAGUCAACUAGCGGAUAUCUGUUUAUGUACGGAAAUGGUCCUAUCGCUUGGGCCAGCCGUAAGCAAGAAUUAGUGGCUAAAUCCACUACUGAAGCAGAAUACAUAGCCAUUUCCCUAGCAUCAGAUGAACUUUUGUGGCUUCAUCAACUUCUGACUGACUUUGGAAUUGAUGAGCAGAAGCCUAUUCAAGUGUUUGAGGACAACCAAAGUUGUAUCUAG
ensembl:lncRNA